UACAGAGGGUGCGAGCGUUAAUCGGAAUUACUGGGCGUAAAGCGUGCGCAGGCGGUCUUGCAAGACAGAUGUGAAAUCCCCGGGCUUAACCUGGGAACUGCAUUUGUGACUGCAAGGCUGGAGUACGGUAGAGGGGGAUGGAAUUCCGCGUGUAGCAGUGAAAUGCGUAGAUAUGCGGAGGAACACCGAUGGCGAAGGCAAUCCCCUGGACCUGUACUGACGCUCAUGCACGAAAGCGUGGGGAGCAAACAGG
rnacentral:rRNA from 1 species